GGCCUUGACAUACUAAGAACUUUCCAGAGAUGGAUUGGUGCCUUCGGGAACUUAGAUACAGGUGCUGCAUGGCUGUCGUCAGCUCGUGUCGUGAGAUGUUGGGUUAAGUCCGCAACGAGCGCAACCCUUUUCCUUAUUUGCCAGCGGGUAAUGCCGGGAACUUUAAGGAUACUGCCAGUGACAAACUGGAGGAAGGCGGGGACGACGUCAAGUCAUCAUGGCCCUUACGGCCAGGGCUACACACGUGCUACAAUGGUCGGUACAAAGGGUUGCUACCUCGCGAGAGGAUGCUAAUCUCAAAAAGCCGAUCGUAGUCCGGAUCGCAGUCUGCAACUCGACUGCGUGAAGUCGGAAUCGCUAGUAAUCGCGGAUCAGAAUGCCGCGGUGAAUACGUUCCCGGGCCUUGUACUACACCGCCCGUCACACCAUGGGAGUUUGUUGCACCAGAAGUAGGUAGUCUAACCGCAAGGAGGACGCUUACCACGGUGUGGCCGAUGACUGGGGUGAAGUCGUAACAAGGUAGGCGUAGAUGA
rnacentral:rRNA from 1 species